AGAAAGAUUGGAAGAAAAAACAUAGAAGAGGCAAAAAGAAUGCGAAAUAGCAGAAGAAGAUUAGCCGGAGACGGACGGACGGACGGGUGGACGAAUGGACAGCCGAACUGAUGAGAAGAGGAAACUCAAACAAUGU
ensembl:ncRNA R05F9.15 ncRNA